UACAGAGGUCCCAAGCGUUGUUCGGAUUCAUUGGGCGUAAAGCGUGCGUAGGUGGUUCGUUAAGUCUGAUGUGAAAGCCCUGGGCUCAACCUGGGAAUGGCAUUGGAAACUGGCGACCUAGAGUGCGGUAGAGGGUAGUGGAAUUCCCGGUGUAGCAGUGAAAUGCGUAGAGAUCGGGAGGAACAUCUGUGGCGAAGGCGACUGCCUGGACCAGCACUGACACUGAGGCACGAAAGCGUGGGGAGCAAACAGG
rnacentral:rRNA from 1 species